GAACUACUAGGUUGGCAGAAGCUGGGACAAGUCACGGGAGCUCACCCCGUUACGUGGCGCUAGGGAUUCAAACCCUAGUUUGAACUACCGACCUUUCCAUCGACAAGCUCAGCGUCUUAGCCACUGAGCCACCGCAUCCCUCAAAAAGUAAGUAUCUUGGGCUUAAUAGGAUGUGAGAAGUCAGCCAUGGAGGGCCUAUUUGUAGCUAGACUAGUGUGUCUGUAUCUCUCUCUCUCCCCCACUCUACCUCCCUCCUUCCCUCUCUCUCCUCUGUUGCCUUUUGCACUUGAUACCCAUUUUUAUAUAUUUGCAUAACAUGGGGAAGAGACUUAAUUGCCCUGAACAUCCGGGAGCAUUCUGGAAAAAGUCUUCAGUCCACCCUUCCGUGCCCUCUGUGAAUCAUACAUUUCGCAGCCAACUUACACAAAAUGUGGCCUCCUCCCCUUUCUUUUUAUUUUUCUUUUAAUCACACAGGGAUGUAAUCAUUUAAACCUAUUUCCCUUCAGAAGCCUCAAAUUGCUUUGUGAGGUCUAGCAAAGGAAUCAACAGAGGGUGACAGAGCUUUCUCUGAAUGUGAAAAAAAAAGAAAGAGGUUCCUGCAAUUAUCCCUGUCCAGAUAAGUAGCUCAGGAGGAACAAAGAACAUGAGUCACCAAACCAACUUAAUCAGUAAAGAGAAAUUCAUAAAAAAAAAAAACAACCAAAGAAAAAAGUCCUGAAAUGCAGGGUUACAGCGAACCAGGAGAAUCACACCCUUGCCUGCAGAAGUGGGACAACAUUGCUUGGACAUUUCUCACCUCAGCCGUUGCAUUUGGACCCUUUAAACCAGGGGUGAAAUCCUCCGUGGGUUGCCACCAGUUCGCUGCCCGCGCAUGCACCGUGCGUGCCAAAUGCACGCGUCGCAUGGGAAAAGGAGCCUUUUGAAGGCGAAGAAGCUAAGAUGCUAAUAAGAGGCGUUUCGACUCGAAGAAUCAUGAUUCAAGGUGAACAAGACGCUGACAUUAAUCCCGAAGUCCCUCCGCGGUGUUCUCCAAGUUCAUGUGAGGACACGUUUCUCCUCAUCACCCAGCCUUUCUUUUAAUGAAGUCAUUUUUCUCCAAGGCAUUUCCAUGCUUUAGCACACCUCAUAAAUACAGCUUUCCGCGAGA